rnacentral:rRNA from 1 species
GACGAACGCUGGCGGCGUGCUUAACACAUGCAAGUCGAACGGAAAGGCCCUGCUUGCAGGGUACUCGAGUGGCGAACGGGUGAGUAACACGUGGGUGAUCUGCCCUGCACUUCGGGAUAAGCCUGGGAAACUGGGUCUAAUACCGGAUAGGAGCCAUUUUUAGUGUGAUGGUUGGAAAGUUUUUUCGGUGUAGGAUGAGCUCGCGGCCUAUCAGCUUGUUGGUGGGGUAAUGGCCUACCAAGGCGGCGACGGGUAGCCGGCCUGAGAGGGUGGACGGCCACAUUGGGACUGAGAUACGGCACAGACUCCUACGGGAGGCAGCAGUGGGGAAUAUUGCACAAUGGGCGCAAGCCUGAUGCAGCGACGCCGCGUGGGGGAUGACGGCCUUCGGGUUGUAAACGCCUUUCGCUAGGGACGAAGCUUUUUGUGACGGUACCUAGAUAAGAAGCACCGGCUAACUACGUG